ACCCGACCAAGCGGGUAUAAAAAGGCUUUAAGCUUGGAGCGUUGCCCUUUCGGGGGCAGGUAGUA
rnacentral:ribozyme from 1 species